CCAAAGGCUCUUUUCAGAGCCAACAAUUUUUCUUGUAAGGUGCUGU
rfam:Oryctolagus cuniculus chromosome 12, whole genome shotgun sequence.